rnacentral:rRNA from 1 species
AGGUCUUGUACAUCCGAUGCUAUUCUAGAGAUAGAAAGUUACUUCGGUACAUCGGUGACAGGUGGUGCAUGGUUGUCGUCAGCUCGUGUCGUGAGAUGUUGGGUUAAGUCCCGCAACGAGCGCAACCCCUAUUGUUAGUUGCCAUCAUUCAGUUGGGCACUCUAGCGAGACUGCCGGUAAUAAACCGGAGGAAGUGGGGAUGACGUCAAAUCAUCAUGCCCCUUAUGACCUGGGCUACACACGUGCUACAAUGGUUGGUACAACGAGUUGCGAGUCGGUGACGGCGAGCUAAUCUCUUAAAGCCAAUCUCAGUUCGGAUUGUAGGCUGCAACUCGCCUACAUGAAGUCGGAAUCGCUAGUAAUCGCGGAUCAGCACGCCGCGGUGAAUACGUUCCCGGGCCUU